rnacentral:tRNA from 1 species
GGGCGGGUAGCUUAGUCCGAUUGGAGCACGCGACUGAUAAUCGCGCGGUCGGGAGUUUAAAUCUCCCCCUGCACAC